UUUUUGCGUGAGUGAUGGCAGUGGAGCUCUUUAUUGAAUUGCACCGCUUUUUAAGGUGCAAUUCAAUAAAAGCGGGAACGAACAGCACGACCCGUA
rnacentral:sRNA from 1 species